rnacentral:rRNA from 1 species
GACAGAGGAUGCAAGCGUUAUCCGGAAUGAUUGGGCGUAAAGCGUCUGUAGGUGGCUUUUAAGUCCGCCGUCAAAUCCCAGGGCUCAACCCUGGACAGGCGGUGGAAACUACCAAGCUGGAGUACGGUAGGGGCAGAGGGAAUUUCCGGUGGAGCGGUGAAAUGCGUAGAGAUUGGAAAGAACACCAAUGGCGAAAGCACUUUACUGGGCUAUUACUGACACUGAGAGACGAAAGCUAGGGUAGCAAAUGGG